UACGGAGGGGGCUAGCGUUGUUCGGAAUUACUGGGCGUAAAGCGCGCGUAGGCGGACCUGCAAGUCGGGGGUGAAAGCCCGAGGCUCAACCUCGGAACUGCCUUCGAUACUGCGGGUCUCGAGUCCGGGAGAGGUGAGUGGAAUUCCUAGUGUAGAGGUGAAAUUCGUAGAUAUUGGGAGGAACACCGGUGGCGAAGGCGGCCCCCUGGACCGGUACUGACGCUGAGGCGCGAAAGCGUGGGUAGCAAACGGG
rnacentral:rRNA from 1 species